rnacentral:misc_RNA from 1 species
GAUAUUUUACUCUCUGAGUCGAACACUCACUCCUGUUCACCUAUUUUUCCAGGCUACAUGAGGAGUUCUUUUACAGAGUAACCUGUUUUCUUCCUUGCAGGUUUAACGUCAGUUAUUUAAUUGUUUUAAUAUUUUUUCUAAAUUUGAAAUCUAGAACUCCACAUGUGUUAGCAGUAGUAUAGACCCUAUUAGGAAUUGUGUUAAUUUAAAUUCUUGAGGUUAAUAAAUAAAGAUUUGUAUGAUACUUAAACAAUUUGUAAAUGAUGUAACCGGGUUGAGCUAGGCUCCCCUAAUUUGAGUUUCUGAUAAUUAUUGGAUUAAGUUGAUCCGGAA